GUCCUGGGAUAGCUCAGUCGGUAGAGCAUGAGGCUCCCGAUCUCAAGGUUGUGGGUUCGAGUCCUACAUGGGGCA